rnacentral:rRNA from 1 species
GUGACCUCAAAUCAGGUAGGACUACCCGCUGAACUUAAGCAUAUCAAUAAGCGGAGGAAAAGAAACUAACAAGGAUUCCCCUAGUAACUGCGAGUGAAGCGGGAAAAGCUCAAAUUUAAAAUCUGGCAGUCUUUGGCUGUCCGAGUUGUAAUCUAGAGAAGUGUUAUCCGCGCUGGACCGUGUACAAGUCUCCUGGAAUGGAGCGUCAUAGAGGGUGAGAAGCUCCCAAGAGUCGAGUUGUUUGGGAAUGCAGCUCAAAAUGGGUGGUAAAUUCCAA